rnacentral:rRNA from 1 species
UACGUAGGGGGCAAGCGUUGUCCGGAAUCAUUGGGCGUAAAGAGCGUGUAGGCGGCCCGGUAAGUCUGUUGUGAAAGUCCAGGGCUCAACCCUGGAAUGCCGAUGGAUACUGCCGGGCUAGAGUUCGGAAGAGGCGAGUGGAAUUCCUGGUGUAGCGGUGGAAUCCGUAGAUAUCAGGAAGAACACCGGUGGCGAAGGCGGCUGCCUGGACCGAUACUGACGCUGAGACGCGAAAGCGUGGGGAGCAAACAGG